AUUGGGGUAAAAGUCCUGUGGUCAAGUCAAAAGGAACAAGUCUUUUCCAUUAAACAGAGGAACUUGAUGGCAUGUUCAGGCAAGAAGAGGCCAAAUGAAGAGAAUCAGAUGGCAAAAUGGCAUCCAAAAGGGAAUUUUUGAUGAUGUAAGGAACUUGAGGGCUUAUAGCAGAAAAGAAGAGGUUGCAUCAUACACAAAAGAACACUUUGCAUCAUACUCCAUGAUCAGCUUUUAUAAGCAGAUGCUGUCCUGAUCAGAACCUGGAUACUGGAGCCUGUCUCCACCCUCGUCGGUGUGAUGUCCUCGCCCUCGACGAUGUGAUGUCCUCGGCCUCGACGGUGUGAUGUCCUCGCCCUCGACGUUGUGAUGUCCUCGCCCUCGACGGUGUGAUAUCCUCGCCCUCGACGGUGUUGUGUCCUCUCCUCGACGGUAUGGUGUCCUCUCACUCGAGGGUGUGGUGUCCUCUCCUCGACGGUAUGGUGUCCUCUCCUCGACGGUGUGGUGUCCUCUCAUCGACGGUAUGGUGUCCUCUCCUCGACGGUGUGGUGUCCUCUCCUCGACGGUGUGGUGUCCUUUCACUCGACGGUAUGGUGUCCUCCCCUCGACGGUGUGGUGUCCUCCCCUCGACGGUAUGGUGUCCUCUCACUCGAGGGUGUGGUGUCCUCUCCUCGACGGUAUGGUGUCCUCUCCUCGACGGUGUGGUGUCCUCUCCUCGACGGUAUGGUGUCCUCUCACUCGAGGGUUUGGUGUCCUCUCCUCGACGGUAUGGUGUCCUCUCCUCGACGGUGUG
rnacentral:lncRNA from 1 species